UACGGAGGGUGCGAGCGUUGAUCGGAAUUACUGGGCGUAAAGCGCGCGUAGGCGGUUGUUUAAGUUGGUUGUGAAAGCCUCGGGCUCAACCUGGGAGGUGCAUUCAGAACUGGACGACUAGAGUACGAGUGAGGGUUGUGGAAUUUCCUGUGUAGCGGUGAAAUGCGUAGAUAUAGGAAGGAACAUCAGUGGCGAAGGCGACUGCCUGGCUCGAUACUGACGCUGAGGUGCGAAAGCGUGGGGAGCAAACAGG
rnacentral:misc_RNA from 1 species